rnacentral:lncRNA from 1 species
UCAAUAUUAAUAUCAGUUAACCUAGGAUUGCAUGCUUAGGGAAAACUUCGUGUUAAGCACAUCCGUCUUGUCAAUUUUUGAUUCUUAGUUUGUCAAUUUGGUGUCUUCCUAUCUGUUGGUUCCUUACAUUUAGUUUGACAAAUUGCACAUUGUUGAACAUCUAAUUACACUUAGUACACGAAAUUUAACUUUUGUGUGCUAAAUCAAUCUAUUUGUUCAUUUUGGUCAGUUUGCAUCUAGUGUUGUUUCCUAUCUUUUCUUCUUAGGUCUUUCCUUGCUUUCCUUAUUAUUUGAAUCAUACAAGCUUGGCUUAUUGAGUCCUUAUUCUGAAGUGCACUUUUGAGAUACCAAGUGAGUGCUUGAAAAUUAAACACGUGAGUUGAGAGAAUUGUGAAUUUUUUUCUAUAAUGUCUGGGCAUAAUACUGGUGAUACUUCUGACCCUACAUUUGAUCUUAAAGAUAUAUAUAAAGCUUUCAUGGAUAGCUUUCAGAAGCUAAAUUCGAGAAUGGAUAACCUUGAGGACAACCUUAGAUCUUCAAAGGGCAAGUCCAUUCAGAGGGAUGAUGAUACACACGAUCCAUCCUAUGAUGAGGAAAAUGAGGCACAAUCAG